rnacentral:rRNA from 1 species
CGAGGACGAACGCUGGCGGCAUGCCUAACACAUGCAAGUCGAACGGACGAGAUUCCUUCGGGGAUCAAGUUAGUGGCGAACGGGUGAGUAACGCGUGAGGAACCUGCCUUUCAGAGGGGGACAACAGUUGGAAACGACUGCUAAUACCGCAUAACGCAGCGAGACCGCAUGAUCUUGCUGCCAAAGAUUUUAUCGCUGAAAGAUGGCCUCGCGUCUGAUUAGAUAGUUGGUGAGGUAACGGCCCACCAAGUCUGCGAUCAGUAGCCGGACUGAGAGGUUGAACGGCCACAUUGGGACUGAGAUACGGCCCAGACUCCUACGGGAGGCAGCAGUGGGGAAUAUUAGGCAAUGGGGGCAACCCUGACCUAGCAACGCCGCGUGAAGGAAGAAGGCUUUCGGGUUGUAAACUUCUUUUACCAGGGACGAAGGACGUGACGGUACCUGGAGAAAAAGCCACGGCUAACUACGUG